rnacentral:ncRNA from 1 species
UGGACGGGACGACCCGGCCGCGAGGGAGCACAUGCCGGGACGACCCGG